rnacentral:rRNA from 1 species
GAUGAACGCUAGCUACAGGCUUAACACAUGCAAGUCGAGGGGAAACGACAUCGAAAGCUUGCUUUUGAUGGGCGUCGACCGGCGCACGGGUGAGUAACGCGUAUCCAACCGGCCCAUCACUUGGGAAUAACCUUGCGAAAGUAAGACUAAUACCCAAUGAUAUCCCACGAAGGCAUCGGAAUGGGAUUAAAGAUUUAUCGGUGAUGGAUGGGGAUGCGUCUGAUUAGCUUGUUGGCGGGGUAACGGCCCACCAAGGCAACGAUCAGUAGGGGUUCUGAGAGGAAGGUCCCCCACAUUGGAACUGAGACACGGUCCAAACUCCUACGGGAGGCAGCAGUGAGGAAUAGUGGUCACUGGGCGAGAGCCUGAACCAGCCAAGUAGCGUGCAGGAAGACGGCCCUAUGGGUUGUAAACUGCUUUUAUAAGGGAAUAAAGUGGGUCACGUGUGACUUUUUGCAUUUACCUUAUGAAUAAGGACCGGCUAAUUCCGUG